UACAGAGGGUGCGAGCGUUAAUCGGAUUUACUGGGCGUAAAGGGCGCGUAGGCGGCCUUAUGAGUGUGGUGUGAAAGCCCCGGGCUUAACCUGGGAAGUGCAUCGCAAACGAUAAGGCUGGAGUAGAUGAGAGGGUGGCGGAAUUUCCGGUGUAGCGGUGAAAUGCGUAGAGAUCGGAAGGAACGUCGAUGGCGAAGGCAGCCACCUGGCAUCAUACUGACGCUGAGGCGCGAAAGCGUGGGUAGCGAACAGG
rnacentral:rRNA from 1 species